AUUGAACGCUGGCGGCAGGCUUAACACAUGCAAGUCGAGCGAGCGGCGGACGGGUGAGUAAUGUCUGGGACACUGCCUGAUGGAGGGGGAUAACUACUGGAAACGGUAGCUAAUACCGCAUACCAUCAGAUGUGCCCAGAUGGGAUUAGCUAGUAGGUGGGGUAAUGGCUCACCUAGGCGACGAUCCCUAGCUGGUCUGAGAGGAUGCACAGCCACCCUGGAACUGAGACGCGGUCCAGACUACACCGGGAGGCAGCAGUGGGGAAUAUUGCACAAUGGGCGCAAGCCUGAUGCAGCCAUGCCGCGUGUGUUAAGGAGGCCUUCGGGUUGUAAAGCACUUUCAGCGAGGAGUCGUUACUCGCAGAAGAAGCACCGGCUAACUCCGUGCCAGCCGCCGCGGUAAUUC
rnacentral:rRNA from 1 species